rnacentral:lncRNA from 1 species
CUACCCUCUCCUGUUCCAAAAGCCUGUCUGGUCAGAAUGGUGUGAUGAGCCCUCCUCUUCAGCUAGGAAAAUGACGGUGUUCAGAAAGUUAAAACUUCUUCGCUGGAAGGAUUUCAUCUUAAAGUUGUUUUAGGCUGUUCUUCAGUGUCUUUGUUUGAACGUUAUAUAAUUGAUGAUCCCAAAGCUUUCUACAUAUUGGCAGGAAUUGUUUUUGACCACAGCGUCAAUGACAGCAAUGGAUCUUUGCCACUUGCGGUUAAGUAUCAAUUGCGCUUCAGUUACUUUCAGAAGAAUUUUAUACUGGGGAAGAAUAUAUUUUUUCAAGAUGACAUAGAAGGCUGGUGCACAUCCUUUCUUUACCCUCCCAAUCCACGCCAAGAACCCCGGGAAUUUCCAUUUGCUGUUGGGGGAAGUCCUG